AAUAAUAAUGGUUUCAAAUUUUGCCACAUGGGCAGCAAUUUUGGGGGAGGGGGAUGAGUUGAUUAUAUUGACCCCAGUACACAACUGGUACUUAUUUUAUCGACCCUGAAAGGAUGAAAGGCAAAGUUGGCCUUGGCAGAAUUUGAACUCAGAACGUAGUGACGGGCAAACUACCACUAAGCAUUUUGACCAGUUCGCUAAUGAUUCUGCCAGCUCACCGCCUUAGUAAUAAUAAUAAUAAUAAUAAUAAUAAUAAUAAUAAUAAUAAUAAUAAUAAUAUUAAUAAUAAUAAUAAUAUGAAUGAUGAUGUAAUAAUUGUUUCAAAUUGAGGCACGAGUCCAGCAAUUUUGAGGGGGAGGUGCAAGGGGGAGGUACAUUGAGUUCAAUACUUGAGUGAUACUUUAUUUGAGUGAUGCUUUAUUUGAGUGAUACUUUAUUGCAGGGAUGCUUUAUUUGAGUGAUACUUUAUUGCAGGGAUGCUUUAUUUGAGUGAUACUUUAUUUGAGUGAUACUUUAUUUGAGGGAUACUUUAUUUGAGGGAUACCUUAUUUGAGGGAUACUUUAUUUGAGGGAUACUAUAUUUGAGUGAUACCUUAUUUGAGUGAUACUUUAUUUGAGUGAUACUUUAUUUGAGGGAUACUUUAUUUGAGGUAUACCUUAUUUGAGUGAUACUUUAUUUGAGGGAUACUAUAUUUGAGUGAUACCUUAUUUGAGUGAUACUUUAUUUGAGUGAUACUUUAUUUGAGGGAUACUAUAUUUGAGUGAUACCUUAUUUGAGUGAUACUUUAUUUGAGGGAUACUAUAUUUGAGGUAUACCUUAUUUGAGUGAUACUUUAUUUGAGGGAUACUUUAUUUGAGGGAUACCUUAUUUGAGUGAUACUUUAUUUGAGGGAUACUUUAUUUGAGGGAUACUUUAUUUGAGGGAUACUAUAUUUGAGUGAUACUUUAUUUGAGGGAUACUAUAUUUGAGUGAUACUUUAUUUGAGUGAUACUUUAUUUGAUCGACCUUGAAAGGAUGAAGGGCAAAGUCAACCUUGGCAGAAUUUGAACUCAGAACAUAAAGCGCCAGAAGAAAUACCACUCAGUUUGGUUGUGCAAAUGAUUCUGAUGUGUCAAAGAGAGAUCUGAUGUGUCAACAUACAAGAAGCUUUUAUAUAGAGAUAGGUGAUAAGGUAUCCAUCAAUGGGUGAUCAGCCCUAUUAACUUUUGGAGGGUUUCUUUCCUAAACAACACACACUGCAAUCCAACAGAAUACCAGUGCUCCCACCACUGGUCACAGUAAAUUAUGUCUCUCCUUGGUGUACGUUUAAAAAGAAAUGUUUAAAACUAUUGAAAUUUAAGUGGUUUUUUUUUUGUAAUUUGGAUGGAAAUACAAAGAUUUGAACCUUCAGACAUCAAGUCAACUUGAAAUAUUGUAUCAGUCAGUCCUGCAGAAUUUGAAAACAGAACCGGAAAAUGUCAAAAUAAUUUCUCAAUACUGCUGUCCAGUAUGGCCCCAAAUAAAUUCAGGGUGGACGGAAUUAAUCAAAACAACUCUAACCAUUAUCUUUGAUCUUUUACUAGUUUUGGUCAUUGAACUGUUGCCAUGCUUCCACAGAGUUUCUGUGAGCCAAAUUCACUUGCAAAGCAUUAGUUGGCCCAAGGCUAUAGAAGAAGACACUUGCCCAAGGUGACACACAGUGGGACUGAACCCAAGACCAUGUGGUCACAAAAAGAUCUUCUUAAUCACACAGCCAGAUUUGUACCACAAGGGGCUACACACAGAGGGGACAAACAAGGACAGACAAAGGGAUUAAGUCAAUUAUAUCGACCCCAGUGCGUAACUGGUACUUAAUUUAUCAACCCCGAAAGUAUGAAAGGUAAAGUCAACCUCGGCAGAAUUUGAACUCAGAACGUAACGGCAGACAAAAUACUGCUAAGUAUUUCACCCGAUGUGCUAACGUUUCUGCCAGCUGGUCACCAACUGCAUUUUAUUAAAGACAAAGAUGUGAUGUCUACAGAAUCCAGAACAGUCAGGGUCUAAGUUAACUUUAUCUGCAAUUUUCUAGAUAUCAACAACAAAUUAGCAAAAUUCAUUGAUUCUGUAGCAGAAGUUUGGCCACAAUUUCCAAGAGAGAAUGAAUUAAAGAUUUCUUGGUAAAUGGUUCACUGACAAGUUCCAGUUCUUCUACAACAAAUAUUGCAUUGUGAAAUUGAGUAAAGCAGAUAAACUAUAGUUUAAGACAAGACUACAAAUACCGGGAUGUCAGUGAGGUCAAUUGUAGGGGGAGACUAGGGUCUUGUCCAGUGUGAUUGUGACAUCUCAUCAAUUUGGCUGAUAUGAGCAAUGAAAGACAGCUUUAGGAUCUGUUUGAGACGAGAGAAGGAAUCAGGAUUUCAUUGCAAUUUUCCAGACAAUUCCAUGAUGUUUGAAAUUGUGUGUGUGUGUGUGUGCGUGUGUGUGUGUGUGUGAGUGUAGCAACUGCCAUUAAAAACAUAGACUAGGGGUCUGUACUCAUCCAUUCCACCCACAGGUAAGCACAAAUGUGGGUUCAUAACCCAGGUAAGGAGUGUCGUGUUAUGUAUGAAAUUAGUGUAUUUAACAUGAUUUCUGAGGUCAUUAAUAAAUAAAUAAAUAAAUAAUGUAUAAAAGAGAAAUGGAAAAAAAAUACUCAGAAAAAAAUGAAAUAAAUUGUUUCCUACAAAAGUUUGAAACCUGAGAUUUUUAUGAGAAAACCAAAAACACCAUUCAUACUUUUUGUAAAGAUGUGAUUUUUUUGGACGAUAGAAAAAUAUUCAUAAUUAUAAUAUUUAUGCCGUAACAAUGUGUAAUGGGGGUUAGCGAUCAGAUAUCAAGAAAUUAGUUAAUUAAAAGCACAGAAUUAAUUAAUUGGUGGGGUUAAUGGUAAAAAUGUUUAAAAGCUUUCCUCAACAAGAAAAUAUUGAUUGAUAGAUAAAUAUAGAAAUGAAUCUAUUUUUGAA
rnacentral:lncRNA from 1 species